rnacentral:rRNA from 1 species
AGUCGACGGGAUCUUCGGAUCUAGUGGCGGACGGGUUAGUAACGCGUGGGAACGUACCCUUUUCUACGGAAUAGCCUAGGGAAACUGAGAGUAAUACCGUAUACGCCCUUUGGGGGAAAGAUUUAUCGGAGUAGGAUCGGCCCGCGUAAGAUUAGAUAGUUGGUGGGGUAAUGGCCUACCAAGUCUACGAUCUUUAGCUGGUUUGAGAGGAUGAUCAGCAACACUGGGACUGAGACACGGCCCAGACUCCUACGGGAGGCAGCAGUGGGGAAUCUUAGACAAUGGGGGAAACCCUGAUCUAGCCAUGCCGCGUGAGUGACGAAGGCCUUAGGGUCGUAAAGCUCUUUCGCUGGGGAAGAUAAUGACUGUACCCAGUAAAGAAACCCCGGCUAACUCCGUGCCAGCAGCCGCGGUAAUACGGAGGGGGUUAGCGUUGUUCGGAAUUACUGGGCGUAAAGCGCGCGUAGGCGGACUGGAAAGUUGGGGGUGAAAUCCCGGGGCUCAACCCCGGAACGGCCUCCAAAACUAUCAGUCUAGAGUUCGAGAGAGGUGAGUGGAAUUCCGAGUGUAGAGGUGAAAUUCGUAUAUAUUCGGAGGAACCCCAGGGGCGAAGGCGGCUUCCUGGCUCGAUACUGACCCUGAGGGGCGAAAGCGUGGGGAGCCAAACGGGAUUAAAAUCCCCUGGUAGCCCCCCCCCGAAAACAAUAAAUGCCCAGUCCUCCAAAGGGCUUGGCCUUUUGGGGAACCCCCCUAACGGAUUAGAGCGUCCCCCCUGGGGAGUAC